rnacentral:rRNA from 1 species
GUAGGUGGCAAGCGUUGUCCGGAAUUAUUGGGCGUAAAGCGCGCGCAGGCGGUUCUUUAAGUCUGAUGUGAAAGCCCACGGCUCAACCGUGGAGGGUCAUUGGAAACUGGAGAACUUGAGUACAGAAGAGGAAAGCGGAGUUCCACGUGUAGCGGUGAAAUGCGUAGAGAUGUGGAGGAACACCAGUGGCGAAGGCGGCUUUCUGGUCUGUAACUGACGCUGAGGCGCGAAAGCGUGGGGAGCAAACAGGAUUAGAUACCCUGGUAGUCCACGCCGUAAACGAUGAGUGCUAAGUGUUAGGGGGUUUCCGCCCCCUUAGUGCUGCAGCUAACGCAUUAAGCACUCCGCCUGGGAGUACGGCCGCAAGGCUG